UCCUCCUCCUCUUCGUCUUGAGAAUGGAGGUUUCCAGAUGUGAGGCCCCCCUGUACCAACAUAACAUCAUCUCCAGAGCGGGAUAAAGGACCACUUGUACCUGACCACUCACAGUGACAUCAUCGCAUAAUGAUGGGCACCAUGGUUAUAGUCUCUGGUGACCGAGUGAGCUGUUAUUAUUGUCUGGCCUGGUUUUUCUGGAGGUCUGGACCAUCAAAGUCUCAGUCACUUACAGUCCAGUGGUGCUCUGGGAAAAGGCAGAGACUGCAGAUGUGUUUCAGCAGCCAAAACCUGGGCUUCCUGGUGACGUCUAAACAGCUGCCUUUCACAAUGGCAUCCCUUUUGGGUGUGGCCCUAAGUAAGCACAAAUUAAGUCCAAAUAAAAUGGGACAGCAUACGCUGACCAAGG